UACGUAGGGGGCAAGCGUUUGUCCGGAUUUAUUGGGCGUAAAGAGCGUGUAGGCGGCCAAGCAGGUCAGCUGUGAAAACUCGAGGCUCAACCUCGAGACGUCGGUUGAAACCGCUUGGCUAGAGUCCGGAAGAGGAGAGUGGAAUUCCCGGUGUAGCGGUGAAAUGCGCAGAUAUCGGGAAGAACACCCGUGGCGAAGGCGGCUCUCUGGGACGGUACUGGACGCUGA
rnacentral:rRNA from 1 species